rnacentral:lncRNA from 1 species
AAUAGCUUUGUAAGAACGCUUUAUUUUUCUGGUGCUGCAGGCUGCAACUUUCACACUCUGAGACUAAAUCCCUUUCGCAUCGUCCAGGUCCUGGGGAGAGACAUUUAUUUAAAAGUAGCUGAAAUGAAGCACAGAAACAAACUAAAUGGUCUGAAUGAAACCUGGGAUUAUGAAUUCUUUCCCACGUCAUGCUGAACCUUGGGAAGCUUUCCAUACAGCAGGCUCGGAGUCAGGGGACCAUUAAAAGCUUUCAGCUCGGCUUUGCAGUAUGCAAGAGACAAGUGACAAAAGUCAUCCCUUCCCCUAUUUCAUCCAGAAGCUUGCAGAGCUGUUUUUCUUUGGAGCAGGAGCUUGAAAAUCAGCUGGCUAUUACCUGGCAGCCAGGUUAUGGCUUCUUAAAAGAGACCUUUUGA